rnacentral:rRNA from 1 species
UCAGGACGAACGCUGGCGGCGUGCUUAACACAUGCAAGUCGAACGAUGAAGCCUUUCGGGGUGGAUUAGUGGCGAACGGGUGAGUAACACGUGGGCAAUCUGCCCUGCACUCUGGGACAAGCCCUGGAAACGGGGUCUAAUACCGGAUAAUACUUUCUCCUGCAUGGGGGAGGGUUAAAAGCUCCGGCGGUGCAGGAUGAGCCCGCGGCCUAUCAGCUUGUUGGUGGGGUGAUGGCCUACCAAGGCGACGACGGGUAGCCGGCCUGAGAGGGCGACCGGCCACACUGGGACUGAGACACGGCCCAGACUCCUACGGGAGGCAGCAGUGGGGAAUAUUGCACAAUGGGCGAAAGCCUGAUGCAGCGACGCCGCGUGAGGGAUGACGGCCUUCGGGUUGUAAACCUCUUUCAGCAGGGAAGAAGCGAAAGUGACGGUACCUGCAGAAGAAGCGCCGGCUAACUACGUGCCAGCAGCCGCGGUAAUACGUAGGGCGCAAGCGUUGUCCGGAAUUAUUGGGCGUAAAGAGCUCGUAGGCGGUUUGUCACGUCGGAUGUGAAAGCCCGGGGCUUAACCCCGGGUC